CGUUACUUUGCACGUUCACAUUCUCUCCUCUGCUUCGCGAAGGGCCCCGCCCCGACAGGUCACACACACACACACACACACAACCACGCGACACGUGCGCACACACACCUACAGUCAGUCAGUCAGACUCAGUAGAGAAAAGGAGAGGAGAGAACAAAAAAAAAAAAGCAGGGCUGCUAUCGUGGCUCUCUUGUUCCGUGCAAAAGCGACCAAAAGCCACUUGACUGUUAAAUGAUGCUAACGGUCCCUGUACUUUCCUUCUCCGUGACUUGACUUGUAGUACCGAUUCCCUGUGUAUUCUUUCAUCACGGAAAUACAUUCGUUGCAUAAUAAACACACCAGUUUUUUACUUGUUGCGGCUGGCAAAGUAAAUAAAUAUUUGUCAGUCCAUUCGCUCCGGAAGUGACGAUUUUCAGAAUCAACUCUAGGUUUCUUUGGCUUGGAGAGAGACAUCUUGAAGCGUGUUGUUAGCUUGCCGAGCUAAAGUAAGGCAGUGACUCUCUCUGUGGCCCGCCAACCUAGUGUGCAGCGUGAGCUUGACUGAGCCGAUGGCACGUGCGGACAGAGAACACUUCCAUGUUGCUGCAGGCAGCACGGGAUACAUUUCUUGGCAUCUGAAAGCAAUCCAACGAAAGAUUUGUCGAGGAUCUGCACCAUCACCGUGUCCAUGUCCAAUGAGCUGUUAAUGUACAAAGACAGCUGGAUGGGGAUGCUUGCCAAGAGGACAUGUCUUUGCUCAGCCAUACCACAGACAAUUCCCUGAUUUUUCAGAAAAUGAGAGAAACCUUUCAGCACCGUCAGAAGCUUGUUAAUGACCCAAGCAGAGGUGUUGAUAUCCUCUCCACCGUCCCAAGAUUCCUGGAUACCAAAGGAUUGGUGGAUCAAGACUUCCUCGCUGUUGGGCGUCAGAAGAGCAAGAUUGACAGCUUCUACAUCACCAUGGAUAAGCAUCUCAUCCCACGCCAGGCAAACCGCUCCCUACCUCGGGGCUUUCGACAAACUUUCCAAAACCCAUUUUGUGUUUAAUUUGUCGUACGAUGCUGCGUUACUGAAUUUUUACACAUUCUUGCAGACAACAGUGUAUAACAUUGAUGUGGGGAAAAUGAAGGAGUCACCCAGAGUCAGAGACUGGAGAGCCAGACUGCUUGACCAGCUAGUACCGGUCUCACUCUCUGAGUAAGAGGCUAAAACAAUACUGACCGGUUUCAUGUGUCAGAAUUUGACAUUUUAAUUUCUAUCCCAUUUGUAUGAUGGGGUUAUACUGGAACCGUUGAUAAAUGAUAUAAAAUUACUGGAAACCCAAGGCCUUAGUCUUAGUAGUGUUUGAUUGAGAGGAAUGAUUCUCAAACAGUAUACAGUGAGGAAGAUCCCAAAGUGAUCCUUUGUGGAAAAAAUAUGUUUGAUAUGCAUUACAAAUGUCUCCAAGACAACCCACAAUUGAAGUCCUUGUAUGGUUUGAAAAAGACUUCUACACUUAACUCAUUGAAGUAUUUCCAUGUUUGAAAUAAUUACUCAUUUGAUAUAAUGCAUGACCUUCUUGAGGGUGUGACUCAGUGUGAGAUCAAAUUUGCUUUUUGAAUAUCUCACAAAAAACUUAAUAUCACAACAGAACUUGCUUUCCAGGAUUUAUGGUUUUGACUACGGAUUUUUAGAACGAAAGAAACGUCCCACAAAGAUCAUUUUGGACAGUGCUGGCAAUGGCAUUGGUUUGAAUUCUAUUCAAACAUUGUGUCUUGUGAAAAACUUCCCACUGUUUGGUGACAUCAUUCCUGCAGGAAACGAAAACUGGAAUGUGUUACUGUUGUUACUUAAAAUAAUGAACAUGGUUGUGUCACUUUUUCUCACUCUAGGUACGACAAUAUAUUUAAAGCAUUUGAUUGUUGACCACCACAAACUAUUUAAGCACUUGUUUCCACAUAGAAACUUGCUACCGAAGCAUCAUUUUAUGACCCUCUGUAUAUGUGGUCUAUGAGGUGUGAAGCCAAAGACAAGAUUCAAAAACAUAACCAAAUCACUAAAAAGCAUCAGAUGGCUAUUGCUUAUCACUGGGAAAUAUUCACCCUCAAAUAAAAAGAGUAUGGACCAAUUAAGACUUAUUCCCUCAGAGAUGUGAAUGUGGUCAACAACGAAAUGCUUGAAAUGAUUUUGUCAAAAGAUGUUUUCUCAACUAGUGUUAAAGUUGAUGGUGUAGAAUAUACAUGUGGACUUGUUUGUCUUUUGUCAAAUAUGUGAUGUACUUUUGGUUGAAGGUAACACAUUUUGUUUAUUAACAAACAAGCUAUUCACCGAGAAUUCUUUUGAUGACCAUCAUCGUGCAUUUCGAGUGUUACAAAGUGAGGAAAGGUUCAUAAUAAAAAUGUCUGAGCUUAAAUUCCAUAAGCCAUUUGAUAUUCAAAGCUCAUACAAUGUUUCAGAUGAAAGUUUGUACAUUAUACCAUGAAAUGGUUUUGUUUAUUUGAAUCAAUGAAUAUAUUAUUUAAUAACAUUAAUUGGUGUUACUUUAACUCUGUUUUGUGAAUUAAAGAAGGAACUCUGGCACAGUGUUUUAACUAUUAUGAAAGUGUUCAUUUAACUCUGAAAAGUGUGGACCUAUAUAAACCCUGAAAAAGUGUUGAAAUCAACACUGGACUUUUUGCAAGGUCCAAGGUGUGGUUUAAACGGUGAGCUGGUUUAUGUACAUUCUGACUGAACCCAAUUGAAUCUAAUGAGAUAAACGCGUUAUUAAGGCUGUCGUUAUCGAUAUCCACAUGAA
ensembl:lncRNA